AUAUGUGUCUAUUAAUGGGAUUUUCAAUGUCUUGCUUACCACGCUAAUCCUACUUCUGAUUGGAUUUGCAGCUUCAAGAUAUCAAACUCUACACCUUCUAUAUGGAGCUAGAUUUGCAAAAGCCAUAUCCAACUCGAGGAAGUGACUUAUUGACAUGGGAGAGAACUUAUUGGUAACCAAGGACUUUGUGAAGAUAGCAAAUUUUGGCCUUGCUCGUGAAGUUCAUUCGAAGCCACCAUUCACAGAAUAGGUUUCAACACGCUGUUUACAAAUCU